GAUGAACGCUGGCGGCGUGCCUAAUACAUGCAAGUCGAGCGAACAGACGAGGAGCUUGCUCCUCUUACGUUAGCGGCGGACGGGUGAGUAACACGUGGAUAACCUACCUAUAAGAGUGGGAUAACUUCGGGAAACCGGUGCUAAUACCGGAUAAUAUAUUGAACCGCAAGGUUCAAUAGUGAAAGACGGUUUUGCUGUCACUUAUAGACGGAUCCGCGCCGCAUUAGCUAGUUUGUAAGGUAACGGCUUACCAAGGCGACGAUGCGUAGCCGCCCUGAGAGGGUGAUCUGCCACACUGGAACUGAGACACGAUCCAGACUCCUACGCGAGGCAGCAGUAGGGAAUCUUCCGCAAUGGGCGAAAGCCUGACGGAGCAACGCCGCGUGAGUGAUGAAGGUCUUCGGAUCGUAAAACUCUGUUAUUAGUGAAGAACAAAUGUGUAAUUAACUAUGCACGUCUUGACGGUACCUAAUCAGAAAGCCACGGCUAACUACGUG
rnacentral:rRNA from 1 species